GACGAACGCUGGUGGCGUGCUUAACACAUGCAAGUCGAACGGAAAGGCCCUGCUUUUGUGGGGUGCUCGAGUGGCGAACGGGUGAGUAACACGUGAGUAACCUGCCCUUGACUUUGGGAUAACUUCAGGAAACUGGGGCUAAUACCGGAUAGGAGCUCCUGCUGCAUGGUGGGGGUUGGAAAGCUUCGGCGGUUGGGGAUGGACUCGCGGCUUAUCAGCUUGUUGGUGGGGUAGUGGCUUACCAAGGCUUUGACGGGUAGCCGGCCUGAGAGGGUGACCGGCCACAUUGGGACUGAGAUACGGCCCAGACUCCUACGGGAGGCAGCAGUGGGGAAUAUUGCACAAUGGGCGGAAGCCUGAUGCAGCAACGCCGCGUGCGGGAUGACGGCCUUCGGGUUGUAAACCGCUUUCGCCUGUGACGAAGCGUGAGUGACGGUAAUGGGUAAAGAAGCACCGGCUAACUACGUGCCAGCAGCCGCGGUGAUACGUAGGGUGCGAGCGUUGUCCGGAUUUAUUGGGCGUAAAGGGCUCGUAGGUGGUUGAUCGCGUCGGAAGUGUAAUCUUGGGGCUUAACCCUGAGCGUGCUUUCGAUACGGGUUGACUUGAGGAAGGUAGGGGAGAAUGGAAUUCCUGGUGGAGCGGUGGAAUGCGCAGAUAUCAGGAGGAACACCAGUGGCGAAGGCGGUUCUCUGGGCCUUUCCUGACGCUGAGGAGCGAAAGCGUGGGGAGCGAACAGGCUUAGAUACCCUGGUAGUCCACGCUGUAAACGGUGGGUACUAGGUGUGGGGUCCAUUCCACGGGUUCCGUGCCGUAGCUAACGCUUUAAGUACCCCGCCUGGGGAGUACGGCCGCAAGGCUAAAACUCAAAGGAAUUGACGGGGCCCCGCACAAGCGGCGGAGCAUGCGGAUUAAUUCGAUGCAACGCGUAGAACCUUACCUGGGUUUGACAUGGAUCGGGAGUGCUCAGAGAUGGGUGUGCCUCUUUUGGGGUCGGUUCACAGGUGGUGCAUGGCUGUCGUCAGCUCGUGUCGUGAGAUGUUGGGUUAAGUCCCGCAACGAGCGCAACCCUUGUUCACUGUUGCCAGCACGUUAUGGUGGGGACUCAGUGGAGACCGCCGGGGUCAACUCGGAGGAAGGUGGGGAUGACGUCAAGUCAUCAUGCCCCUUAUGUCCAGGGCUUCACGCAUGCUACAAUGGCUGGUACAGAGAGUGGCGAGCCUGUGAGGGUGAGCGAAUCUCGGGAAGCCGGUCUCAGUUCGGAUUGGGGUCUGCAACUCGACCUCAUGAAGUCGGAGUCGCUAGUAAUCGCAGAUCAGCAACGCUGCGGUGAAUACGUUCCCGGG
rnacentral:rRNA from 1 species